CCUACGGGAGGCAGCAGUGGGGAAUAUUGGACAAUGGGCGCAAGCCUGAUCCAGCCAUGCCGCGUGUGUGAAGAAGGCCUUCGGGUUGUAAAGCACUUUUAUCCGGAAAGAAAAGCUUUGGGUUAAUACCCUGAAGUCAUGACGGUACCGGAAGAAUAAGCACCGGCUAACUUCGUGCCAGCAGCCGCGGUAAUACGAAGGGUGCAAGCGUUACUCGGAAUUACUGGGCGUAAAGCGUGCGUAGGUGGUUUGUUAAGUCUGAUGUGAAAGCCCUAGGCUCAACCUGGGAAUUGCAUUGGAUACUGGCAGGCUAGAGUGCGGUAGAGGAUAGUGGAAUUCCCGGUGUAGCAGUGAAAUGCGUAGAGAUCGGGAGGAACAUCUGUGGCGAAGGCGACUAUCUGGGCCAGCACUGACACUGAGGCACGAAAGCGUGGGGAGCAAACAGGAUUAGAUACCCUGGUAGUCCACGCCCUAAACGAUGCGAACUGGAUGUUGGGUGCACUAGCACUCNGUAUGAGACUACGACGUUACGUUACGUCCGCCGUCGGGAGGUACGGUCGCGAGACGUAGAACGUACGAAAGGAAAGUUAGUACGGCGUGAGACGUUAGGCCGACGGACGACCGACCGAGGGGAGGUAGGG
rnacentral:rRNA from 1 species